rnacentral:rRNA from 1 species
AUUGAACGCUGGCGGCAGGCCUAACACAUGCAAGUCGAACGAGUGGCGGACGGGUGAGUAAUGUCUGGGCAACUGCCUGAUGGAGGGGGCUAACUACUGGACCCGGUCGCUAAUACCGCAUACCAUCGGAUGUGCCCAGAUGGGAUUAGCUAGUAGGUGGGGUAACGGCUCACCUAGGCGACGAUCCCUAGCUGGUCUGAGAGGAUGACCAGCCAAACUGGAACUGAGACACGGUCCAGACUCCUACGGGAGGCAGCAGUGGGGAAUAUUGCACAAUGGGCGCAAGCCUGAUGCAGCCAUGCCGCGUGUAUGAAGAAGGCCUUCGGGUUGUAAAGUACUGUCAGCGGGGAGGCGGUACCCGCAGAAGAAGCACCGGCUAACUCCGUGCCAGCAGCCGCGGUAAUAC